UACGGCCAUCCCACCCUGGUAACGCCCGAUCUCGUCUGAUCUCGGAAGCUAAGCAGGGUCGGGCCUGGUUAGUACUUGGAUGGGAGACCUCCUGGGAAUACCGGGUGCUGUAGGC
rnacentral:rRNA from 2 species